rnacentral:rRNA from 1 species
GAUGAACGCUGGCGGCGUGCCUAAUACAUGCAAGUCGAGCGAACAGACGAGGAGCUUUUUCCUCGGACGUUAGCUGCUGACGGGUGAGUAACACGUGGAUAACCUACCUAUAAGACUGGGAUAACUUCGGGAAACCGGAGCUAAUACCGGAUAUUAUAUUGAACCGCAUGGUUCAAUAGUUAAAGACGGUUUUGCUGUCACUUAUAGAUGGAUCCGCGCCGCAUUAGCUAGUUGGUAAGGUAACGGCUUACCAAGGCAACGAUGCGUAGCCGACCUAAGAGGGUCGUCGACUACACUGGAACUGAGACACGGUCCAGACUCCUACGGGAGGCAGCAGCAGGGAAUCUUCCGCAAUGGGCGAAAGCUGGACGGAGCAACGCCGCGUGAGUGAUGAAGGUCUUCGGAUCGUAAAACUCUGUUAUUAGGGAAGAACAAAUGUGUAAGUAACUAUGCACGUCUUGACGGUACCUAAUCAGAAAGCCACGGCUAACUACGUG